GUAGGUGGCAAGCGUUGUCCGGAAUUAUUGGGCGUAAAGCGCGCGCAGGCGGUCCUUUAAGUCUGAUGUGAAAGCCCACGGCUCAACCGUGGAGGGUCAUUGGAAACUGGGGGACUUGAGUACAGAAGAGGAAAGUGGAAUUCCACGUGUAGCGGUGAAAUGCGUAGAGAUGUGGAGGAACACCAGUGGCGAAGGCGACUUUCUGGUCUGUAACUGACGCUGAGGCGCGAAAGCGUGGGGAGCAAACAGGAUUAGAUACCCUGGUAGUCCACGCCGUAAACGAUGAGUGCUAAGUGUUAGAGGGUUUCCGCCCUUUAGUGCUGCAGCUAACGCAUUAAGCACUCCGCCUGGGAGUACGGUCGCAAGACUG
rnacentral:rRNA from 1 species